UACGUAGGGUGCAAGCGUUGCUCGGAAUUAUUGGGCGUAAAGGGUAGGUAGGUGGUCUCAUUUGUCUGGGGUGAAAGCCUUGAGCUUAACUCAAGAAGUGCCCCAGAAACGGUGAGACUAGAGUCUUGGAGAGGGUCGUGGAAUUCCCGGUGUAGCGGUGAAAUGCGUAGAGAUCGGGAGGAACACCAGAGGCGAAAGCGGCGACCUGGACAAGCACUGACACUCAACUACGAAAGCGUGGGGAGCAAACAGG
rnacentral:rRNA from 1 species